UCCCGCUUAGCUCAGUGGUAGAGCGCGUCACUAGUAAUCACGUUGUUUGAUUAUGACGAGGUCAGUCGUUCAAGUCGGCUAGCGGGAA